rnacentral:RNase_P_RNA from 1 species
GCAGUGUUCCGGCUCUAUCGCUGGCGCCGCAUUGGCGCGAGAGGAAAGUCCGGGCAGCACAGGGUGCUCCACUUGCGAAAAUACAAGCUACCGGCGACGGUAGGUGAAAGGCAGAAGAAAAUAACCGCCUCUUUUCGGGAGGUAAGGGUGAGAAGGUGGUGUAAGAGACCACCGGCCGGCCGGUGACGGUCGGGCUGUGCCUGCUGGAGGCUGCAAGUUCAAGUAAACCAUCGUCAUGACAGGGCUACCCGCCCGACAGGCUUCGCCUCACGAUGGAGGGUAGAACGCUAAGCUGCGAAGCAAAACCCGCAUGGUGACAUACGGGGUAGAUAAAUGAUAGGGCACCCCUUUGGCUCCGAGAGGGCUGUUGGGGACACAGAACCCGGCUUACAGGAGCACUGCCUUC